AUGAUAACCAAAAAGAAAUUCGCAAAAGUAAUAGAGAGAAGUAGAAUCGAAGGAGAAGGAAGAAGCUUACAAAUACCUAAAAUAGAGAAUCUAUGGACUUCUUAUAUUCAUCUUCAAAGCAUUGCAACAAUAUCCAGGACUAGCCACUGUCAUUUUGGUAUGCUUGAGUUCAUCCAGUUCUUCAUUUUCCUCGCUUGGUCUUUAUAUUAG